AUACAGAGGGUGCAAGCGUUAUUCGGAAUUACUGGGCGUAAAGCGCGCGUAGGCGGAUGAUUAAGUCAGUUGUGAAAGCCCUGGGCUCAACCUAGGAACUGCAUCUGAUACUGGUCGUCUAGAGUUUAAGAGAGGGAAGUGGAAUUCCAGGUGUAGCAGUGAAAUGCGUAGAUAUCUGGAGGAACAUCAGUGGCGAAGGCGACUUCCUGGCUUAAAACUGACGCUGAGGUGCGAAAGCGUGGGUAGCAAACAGGAUUAGAAACCCUAGUAGUCC
rnacentral:rRNA from 1 species